UAAGGAAUAUUGGUCAAUGGACGCAAGUCUGAACCAGCCAUGCCGCGUGAAGGAUGAAGGUCCUCUGGAUUGUAAACUUCUUUUAUCUGGGACGAAAACGGGAUUUUUAUCUCAAUUGACGGUACCAGAGGAAUAAGCACCGGCUAACUCCGUGCCAGCAGCCGCGGUAAUACGGAGGGUGCGAGCGUUAUCCGGAUUUACUGGGUUUAAAGGGUGCGUAGGUGGGCUUAUAAGUCAGUGGUGAAAUCUCCGAGCUUAACUUGGAAACUGCCGUUGAUACUAUAGGUCUUGAAUUAUCUGAAGGUAAGCGGAAUAUGUCAUGUAGCGGUGAAAUGCUUAGAUGUGACAUAGAACACCAAUUGCGAAGGCAGCUUACUACAUAUAAAUUGACGCUGAGGCACGAAAGCGUGGGGAUCAAACA
rnacentral:rRNA from 1 species